rnacentral:miRNA from 1 species
UAUUAGGUUGGUGUAAAAGGAAUUGCAGUUUUUGCCAUUUUUUUUUUAAUGGCAAAAACCUGCAAUUCCUUUUGCACGAACCUAAUA